UUACGGCCAUAUCCCUUUGAAACACCGGUUCUCGUAAGAUCACCAAAGUUAAGCAAUAUCGAGUGUGGUUAGUACUUAGAUAAAUAACUGCUGGAGAAUACCAGGUGUUGUAAG